rfam:Schistosoma mansoni strain Puerto Rico chromosome 2, complete genome
GUCCAGCUGAUGAGUCCCAAAUAGGACGAAACGCGCGUGCUGGGU